GUGUGUGUGUGUGUGGAAUGUUGGGUUACCUGUGUGUGUGUGUGUGUGUGUGUGUGUGUGUAGAGUGUUGGGUUACCCGUGUGUGUGUGUGUGUGUGUGUGUGUGUGGAGUGUUGGUUUACCUGUGUGUGCGUGUGUGUAGAGUGUUGGGUUACCCGUGUGUGUAUGUGUGUGUGUGUGUGUGUGUAGUGACAGUUUACCUGUGUGUGCGUGUGUGUAGAGUGUUGGGUUACCCGUGUGUGUAUGUGUGUGUGUGUGUGUGUGUGGAGUGUUGGGUUACCUGUGUGUGUGUGUGUGUGUGUUUAGAGUGUUGGGUUACCCGUGUGUGU
ensembl:lncRNA